GGUUAAGUCCCGCAACGAGCGCAACCCUUAUCCUUGUUGCCAGCGGUCCGGCCCGGGAACGUCAAAGGAGACUGCCAGUGAUAAACUGGAGGAAGGUGGGGAUGACGUCAAGUCAUCAUGGCCCUUACGACCAGGGCUACACACGUGCUACAAUGGCGCAUACAAAGAGAAGCGACCUCGCGAGAGCAAGCGGACCUCAUAAAGUGCGUCGUAGUCCGGAUUGGAGUCUGCAACUCGACUCCAUGAAGUCGGAAUCGCUAGUAAUCGUGGAUCAGAAUGCCACGGUGAAUACGUUCCCGGGCCUU
rnacentral:rRNA from 1 species